GUCCACGCCCUAAACGAUGUCAACUAGUUGUCGGGAGGGUAACCCUCUUGGUAACGCAGCUAACGCGUGAAGUUGACCGCCUGGGGAGUACGGUCGCAAGAUUAAAACUCAAAGGAAUUGACGGGGCCCGCACAAGCGGUGGAUUAUGUGGAUUAAUUCGAUGCAACGCGAAAACCUUACCUACCCUUGACAUGCUAGGAACUUGUGAGAGAUCACUUGGUGCUCGAAAGAGAACCUAGACACAGGUGCUGCAUGGCUGUCGU
rnacentral:rRNA from 1 species